rnacentral:rRNA from 1 species
AGGACUAACGCUGGCGGCGUGCCUAACACAUGCAAGUCGAACGAGAGUAGCAAUACUCUAGUGGCAGACGGGUGAGUAACACGUGGUCAACCUACCUUUAAGUGGGGGAUAACUAGCCGAAAGGUUAGCUAAUACCGCAUACGAUCUUCGCGUGGCAUCACAUGAAGAUGAAAGGAGCAAUCCGCUGAAAGACGGGACCGCGUCCCAUUAGCCAGUUGGUGGGGUAACGGCCUACCAAAGCAACGAUGGGUAGCUGGCUUGAGAGAGCGACCAGCCACACUGGGACUGAGACACGGCCCAGACUCCUACGGGAGGCAGCAGUGAGGAAUUUUCCGCAAUGGGCGAAAGCCUGACGGAGCGACGCCGCGUGUGGGAUGAAGGCCUUCGGGUCGUAAACCACUGUCGAAGGGGAAGAUAUUGACGGUACCUUGGAGGAAGCCCGGCUAACUACGCGCCAGCAGCCGC